rnacentral:misc_RNA from 1 species
CUCAUUUUUUUCUUUCGCUUGCUCUCCCUCGUUCUCUCGCUGCUGGUGCGUGCCGCCUCUCUCUUGCAAAUCGCCAAGACGGCGACACACUGCACCAGCCGCGGCAGCAGAAGGUAGUGGGGGCAUGCGGCUGUGCCGGCUCUUCCCUUCACAUUCCAGCAAUCGAUAGCUAGUGCAGUUCCGGCUGUUUGUGCACACCACAGCUCAGGUGAUGACGUUUCCAACACGGUGUACCGCGACGACGUUGCUGGUCGUUGUUCUUGUUCUCACCGCCUCGUCCUGUUUGUCAGACGCGUAUGCUGCGGUCAUGAACGCCGCCGCGGCCGCCGCGUCUGCGCCGCUGGAGGCGACAGGCAAGGGCCAGAGCAACAACUGGGCUGUCAUCGUCUCUUCCUCGCGGUACCUCUUCAACUACCGCCACACCGCCAAUGCGCUUACCAUGUACCACCUCUUGCGUCAACACGGCAUCGACGACGACCAUAUUCUUCUCUUUUUGAGUGACAGCUUCGCCUGCGAUCCACGAAAUGUGUACCCUGCGGAGAUCUUUUCGCAGCCCCCAGGAGAGCGCGACGCGAAUGGGCACGCGAGCAUGAAUCUGUACGGCUGCAGCGCGCAAGUGGACUACGCGGGCAGCGACGUGGACGUGCGCCGCUUUCUAAGUGUGUUGCAGGGCCGCUAUGACGAGAACACGCCGCCCACGCGGCGGCUCCUUUCGGACGACAAGUCGAACAUCAUCAUCUACGUCGCGGGGCACGGCGCGAAGUCGUUCUUCAAGUUUCAGGACACGGAGUUUCUGAGCUCAUCGGACAUUUCGGAGACGCUGAUGAUGAUGCACCAGCAGCGGCGGUACGGUCGCAUUGUUUUCUUGGCUGAUACAUGCCAUGCGAUUGCGCUGUGCGAGCAUGUGGAGGCGCCGAACGUUUUAUGUCUCGCCGCCUCGGAUGCCGAGUCGGAGAGCUACUCGUUCCAGUACGACGAACAGCUUGGUACGCAUAUGGUUUCCUUUUGGAUGAAUGAGAUGUACUCGUUGCUGAACGGCACGAGCUGCAGCAACCCGCUCACUCGCCGCAUCGGCAACGAUGCAGUGUCGGUGCUGCAUCAAUCGUGGUACAACUUCAAUUAUCACCCCUACCGAGUGGAGGCGAGUCGAAACCGCUCGAAGCCAGCGCACCGCGACGCCGUGAACGACCCGACUGCUCUGAGAGAGUGGAUUGUAGCCGACUUUGUGUGCGGCCGGGUGCCGGCAGCGGUGCCAGUGGACGUUCGCUACGACCUCGAGUAGCGUGUCGCAUCUACGUCGCUGCGCUGAUGGUAUGUGCAUGGGCGCGUGUGACACGCGUCGUGUGCUCGAGGGGGGGGGAGGCGCCUACAGCCGCACGCAUGGAUCCAUGACUAGACGUGGCCCCCUCUUUCCCGACCGAAGCAAAAAAAGAACGCGAAGACGCCAACAACGUCGAAGGCCUGUGUCAAAACCGUGUGUGUGAUGUGCAGCGCAAGGUGGGGGGGGGCGAGAAGAUGCGAUACGGAGCGGGGCGCGGCUUACGAGCGUUGCUGCGCCGCUUCUCUCUAGUCUCUCUCUGUUAUGUUUGUGGUUUUUUUUACUUAUCCAUGUGAAUUACACGUCUCCAC